rnacentral:rRNA from 1 species
UAGAGUUUGAUCCUGGCUCAGAACGAACGCUGGCGGCAGGCCUAACACAUGCAAGUCGAGCGCACCUUCGGGUGAGCGGCGGACGGGUUAGUAACGCGUGGGAACGUGCCCUUUUCUGCGGAAUAGCCACUGGAAACGGUGAGUAAUACCGCAUACGCCCUUCGGGGGAAAGAUUUAUCGGAGAAGGAUCGGCCCGCGUUAGAUUAGGUAGUUGGUGGGGUAAUGGCCUACCAAGCCUACGAUCUAUAGCUGGUUUGAGAGGAUGAUCAGCAACACUGGGACUGAGACACGGCCCAGACUCCUACGGGAGGCAGCAGUGGGGAACCUUAGACAAUGGGGGCAACCCUGAUCUAGCCAUGCCGCGUGAGUGAUGAAGGCCUUAGGGUCGUAAAGCUCUUUCGCUGGGGAUGAUAAUGACAGUACCCAGUAAAGAAACCCCGGCUAACUCCGUGCCAGCAGCCGCGGUAAUACGGAGGGGGUUAGCGUUGUUCGGAAUUACUGGGCGUAAAGCGCACGUAGGCGGACUGGAAAGUUAGAGGUGAAAUCCCGGGGCUCAACCCCGGAACUGCCUUUAAAACUAUCAGUCUAGAGUUCGAGAGAGGUGAGUG